GCCGGGGGCGGUGGCACAUGCCUGUAGUCCCAGCUACUCGGGAGGCUGAGGUGGGAAGAUGGCUUGAGCCCAGGAGUUCUGGGCUGUAGUGUGCUAUGCCAAUCGGAUGUCCGCACUAAGUUCGUCAUCAAUAUGGUGACCUCCCGGGAACCGGGGACCACCAGGUUGCCUAAGAAGGGGUGAACCGGCCCAGGUCGGAAAAGGAGCAGGUCAAAACUCCCGUGCUAAUCAGUAGUGGGAUUGCACCUGUGAAUAGCCACUGCACUCCAGCCUGGGCUGGAGAACGAGAACGAGACCCCAUCUCUU
rnacentral:SRP_RNA from 1 species